rnacentral:rRNA from 1 species
GAUGAACGCUGGCGGCGUGCUUAACACAUGCAAGUCGAACGGUCAUUUCGGUGACAGUGGCGCACGGGUGAGUAACACGUAGCUAACCUGCCUUCGAGUUUGGAAUAACGUCCCGAAAGGGAUGCUAAUACCGAAUAAGCUCCCGGUAAGUAGGUAACUGGGAGAAAAGGGGAAACUCGCUUGAAGAGGGGGCUGCGGACCAUCAGGUAGUUGGUGGGGUAAAGGCCUACCAAGCCAACGACGGAUAGGGGGCCUGAGAGGGUGGUCCCCCACACUGGGACUGAGACACGGCCCAGACUCCUACGGGAGGCAGCAGUGAGGAAUAUUGCACAAUGGGCGAAAGCCUGAUGCAGCGACGCCGCGUGGGCGAUGAAGGCUUUCGGGUCGUAAAGCCCUUUUCUGCGUGACGAGACAAGGACGGUAGCGCAGGAAUAAGUCUCGGCUAACUACGUG